AUUGAACGCUGGCGGCAUGCCUUACACAUGCAAGUCGAACGGCAGCACGGGUGCUUGCACCUGGUGGCGAGUGGCGAACGGGUGAGUAAUACAUCGGAACAUGUCCUGUAGUGGGGGAUAGCCCGGCGAAAGCCGGAUUAAUACCGCAUACGAUCCACGGAUGAAAGCGGGGGACCUUCGGGCCUCGCGCUAUAGGGUUGGCCGAUGGCUGAUUAGCUAGUUGGUGGGGUAAAGGCCUACCAAGGCGACGAUCAGUAGCUGGUCUGAGAGGGCGACCAGCCACACUGGGACUGAGACACGGCCCAGACUCCUACGGGAGGCAGCAGUGGGGAAUUUUGGACAAUGGGCGAAAGCCUGAUCCAGCAAUGCCGCGUGUGUGAAGAAGGACUUCGGGUUGUAAAGCACUUUUGUCCGGAAAGAAAUCCUUGACUCUAAUACAGUCGGGGGAUGACGGUACCGGAAGAAUAAGCACCGGCUAACUACGUG
rnacentral:rRNA from 1 species